GAAUGCUGACAUAAGUAACGAUAAAGCGGGUGAAAAGCCCGCUCGCCGGAAGACCAAGGGUUCCUGUCCAACGUUAAUCGGGGCAGGGUGAGUCGACCCCUAAGGCGAGGCCGAAAGGCGUAGUCGAUGGGAAACAGGUUAAUAUUCCUGUACUUGGUGUUACUGCGAAGGGGGGACGGAGAAGGCUAUGUUGGCCGGGCGACGGUUGUCCCGGUUUAAGCGUGUAGGCUGGUUUUCCAGGCAAAUCCGGAAAAUCAAGGCUGAGGCGUGAUGACGAGGCACUACGGUGCUGAAGCAACAAAUGCCCUGCUUCCAGGAAAAGCCUCUAAGCAUCAGGUAACAUCAAAUCGUACCCCAAACCGACACAGGUGGUCAGGUAGAGAAUACCAAGGCGCUUGAGAGAACUCGGGUGAAGGAACUAGGCAAAAUGGUGCCGUAACUUCGGGAGAAGG
rnacentral:rRNA from 2 species